rnacentral:rRNA from 1 species
GACGAACGCUGGCGGCGUGCUUAACACAUGCAAGUCGAACGAUGAAAGCGGAGCUUGCUCCGCUGGAUUAGUGGCGAACGGGUGAGUAACACGUGGGCAACCUGCCCCAGACUCUGGGAUAACUCCUCGAAAGAGGUGCUAAUACCGGAUACGAACUCCUUGGGCAUCCUUGGAGCUGGAAAGUUUUUCGGUCUGGGAUGGGCCCGCGGCCUAUCAGCUUGUUGGUGGGGUAGUGGCCCACCAAGGCGACGACGGGUAGCCGGCCUGAGAGGGCGACCGGCCAAACUGGGACUGGGACACGGCCCAGACUCCUACGGGAGGCAGUGGUGGGGAAUAUUGCGCAAUGGGCGAAAGCCUGACGCAGCGACGCCGCGUGAGGGAUGACGGCCUUCGGGUUGUAAACCUCUUUCAGCAGGGAAGAAGCGAAAGUGACGGUACCUGCAGAAGAAGCACCGGCUAACUACGUGCCAGCCGCCGCCGUAA